rnacentral:lncRNA from 1 species
GGAAGAUUUCCUUUCCACUUAAGAAGGGUUUGAAAUUUUGAGUGAAAUGGAAGAGCUUACGGGAAAGUCAGAGGGAUGCGGCAGUAAUACCAGAUUGCUCAGCUAAACGCGUGGGCUUUGUGUGGACAGAGCUCCUGCUUCCUGAAGAGACUGUGCCUAUUUUGUGACGAGGCUUUUCUGCUCAACACCGCAAAGACAGUGUGGUCAAGACUGGGAAAAUUCCUGACGUUCCAUCAGAGUCUCUGAGCUAAUUCUUAUCUACCCAGCCCUCCAUGUCUCCUGCGUUGGAGAGCGGGGCACUUUACUCACAACUGGACUGGCGCUUUCAGAAGUGUAUUGUGUGACUUAAAGGAACUUCUUCAGAGUUUAUUUUAUCCAUUGCUAAAAUUCAUGUUUAAUCACCUCAAGUGCUAGAAGUCUUUCAGCCUUUUGAUAAGGCCAGGACAUUCACGCAAGACGAUGACACCACGGUAAGGGCAACUCAGCAGGCUCUGACCAGAGUCCACAGCGUGUUGGCCCACCAAGUACAGGCUGGGAUGUCUCGCACAGGGUGAAGAUGCCAGGGACGGGAGAAAUCAACAUCUUUUAGGAUGAGGUGACCGUGACCAGUCAGUGGUCCAAGUCCAUCACAAGAAAAAACAUCUUUUGGAACAGGCUGCUGGCCAGCGAAGAUUAACUCCAGAAAUUAAUAAGAACCUGCUGCUCCCUUUGCUGUGUGUGCAAUGGUUUGCUCGCUGUCUUGACUAAUUGCUUGCUCCCUUAGCAAAAGCUCCAGUUUGGCUGAAGCCC